rnacentral:rRNA from 1 species
GAUCCUGGCUCAGGAUGAACGCUAGCUACAGGCUUAACACAUGCAAGUCGAGGGGCAGCAUUUCAGUUUGCUUGCAAACUGGAGAUGGCGACCGGCGCACGGGUGAGUAACACGUAUCCAACCUGCCGAUAACUCGGGGAUAGCCUUUCGAAAGAAAGAUUAAUACCCGAUGGUAUAAUUAGACCGCAUGGUCUUGUUAUUAAAGAAUUUCGUAU